AUCAUUAGAGCAAAAGCAACCGUUACAUUCCUAAUUUGUGCAUGUUUUUCUUCCUCCUUCUUGAACAGAAUGGAAGAUUACCUUGUGAAAACUGAAUGAAGUUCUGCAAAACGCAAGAGAUCUUCAUUCCAGUGAAAUCACUGCUCCAGUCCCUGAGGGGACUUCUACUGGGGAAGCAACAUGCACAUCUGUCUACUUGCUCACCUGUGAAGUCUAUACAGCACGGGAGGAUGAGGAAGUCAUUCUACAUGAGCCCAUCUCAGCAGUUGAAGAGUUGCUGCACCAUGAGCCCAUAGCCAGGAACAUAAUAAGUGUCGCUGCUGAUAAGGUAGUCUGUCAUGACUGGGACCGGCGGGCAUGGGGGAGGAGGAAGUGGGCCAGGCUGGUGGAAGACCAGGGUAGAGCUGUGUGAGAUUGAUGUUUCUCCCCAUGGUUUAAGAUUAUUAUUACAACAGCAUAAGAUAAUUAGCACUGAUAACAGAAACAUGUAUUCAAAAAUUAUCCUUUUUUUGUUUUAGCCAUCAAUGGAUAGGCAAUCUUGCAGUCUUUUCUGGUUUCUUUUCCCCCAGUAUCUAAUAAACCAUGUUUACUGACUCUCUCCC
rnacentral:lncRNA from 1 species